GUGCCUUAAACUAAUGAGUAAGGAAAAUAUACGAGCCUAGUUGAGUCCUAGUGCUCAAAUAGCAAUUAUCUCAUUGCAUUUAUGCUUUGAGGAUAUUUUUGGAGAGGCAAAGGUCGUCCCCUUGAGCGUCUGUUCCUGGACACGUUCUUCCUG